rnacentral:rRNA from 1 species
GAAUUUAGCAGAGAUGCUUUGGUGCCUUCGGGAACGCUGAGACAGGUGCUGCAUGGCUGUCGUCAGCUCGUGUUGUGAAAUGUUGGGUUAAGUCCCGCAACGAGCGCAACCCUUAUCCUUUGUUGCCAGCGAUUCGGUCGGGAACUCAAAGGAGACUGCCGGUGAUAAACCGGAGGAAGGUGGGGAUGACGUCAAGUCAUCAUGGCCCUUACGAGUAGGGCUACACACGUGCUACAAUGGCGCAUACAAAGAGAAGCGACCUCGCGAGAGCAAGCGGACCUCACAAAGUGCGUCGUAGUCCGGAUCGGAGUCUGCAACUCCCUCCGUGAAGUCGGAAUCGCUAGUAAUCGUGGUCAGAAUGCGGCGGUU